CGCGUGGAGGGGGAUAACUACUGGAAACGGUAGCUAAUACCGCAUAACGUCGCAAGACCAAAGAGGGGGACCUUAGGGCCUCUUGCCAUCGGAUGUGCCCAGAUGGGAUUAGCUAGUAGGUGGGGUAACGGCUCACCUAGGCGACGAUCCCUAGCUGGUCUGAGAGGAUGACCAGCCACACUGGAACUGAGACACGGUCCAG
rnacentral:rRNA from 1 species